UACGUAGGGUGCGAGCGUUAAUCGGAAUUACUGGGCGUAAAGUGUGCGCAGGCGGCCGCGCAAGUCGAGUGUGAAAGCCCCGGGCUUAACUUUGGGAAUUGCGCUCGAAACUACGUGGCUGGAGUGUGGCAGAGGAAGGUGGAAUUCCACGUGUAGCGGUGAAAUGCGUAGAGAUGUGGAGGAACACCAAUGGCGAAGGCAGCCUUCUGGGCCAACACUGACGCUCAUGCACGAAAGCGUGGGGAGCAAACAGG
rnacentral:rRNA from 1 species